rnacentral:tRNA from 3 species
GGGGCCGUAGCUCAGCUGGUAGAGCGCCUGCUUUGCAAGCAGGAUGUCAGCGGUUCGACUCCGCUCGGCUCCACCA